GCCCGGGUGGUGAAAUGGUAGACACGAGGGACUUAAAAUCCCUUGGCCCGCGAGGGCCGUGUGGGUUCAAGUCCCACCCCGGGCA
rnacentral:tRNA from 1 species